rnacentral:misc_RNA from 1 species
AAAAGCUUUAGUUGCCUCCUCAAAAUCAACCACCACCCCUAAUUUCUUCAACUCGCUUUUAAAUGACAAGAUAUUGCUUCCAUAGAAAUUUGUAUCAAUGAGAGGAAAACUGGAAAACACCUGCAGCAGGCAGCCCCACUCAGGAUCAAGCAAAAAACAUUCUGCCGGAGAUUUCCACCCCAUGUUUAUGGUCUUCAUACAUUUGUUAUCCUUAAGUGCCAUGCAUAUUUUUU